AACGAACGCUGGCGGCAUGCCUAACACAUGCAAGUCGAACGAGACCUUCGGGUCUAGUGGCGCACGGGUGCGUAACGCGUGGGAACCUGCCCUUAGGUUCGGAAUAACUCCCCGAAAGGGGUGCUAAUACCGGAUAAUGUCUUCGGACCAAAGAUUUAUCGCCUUUGGAUGGGCCCGCGUUGGAUUAGCUAGUUGGUAGGGUAAAAGCCUACCAAGGCAACGAUGCAUAGCUGGUCUGAGAGGAUGAUCAGCCACACUGGAACUGAGACACGGUCCAGACUCCGACGGGAGGAAGAAGUAGGGAAUCUGCCGAAAUGGGCGAAAGCGUGAGGGAGCAACGCCGAGUGAGUGAUGAAGGUCUUAGGAUCGGAAAACGCUGUGACUAGGGAAGAACAAAUGUGUAAGUAACCAGGCACGGCGUGACGGGACCUAAUCAGAAAGCAACGGCUAACUACGUG
rnacentral:rRNA from 1 species